GUAGGGAGCAAGCGUUGUCCGGAAUUACUGGGCGUAAAGGGCGCGUAGGCGGGAUCUUAAGUUAGAUGUGAAAACUCUGGGCUCAACCCGGAGACUGCAUUUAAAACUGGGAUUCUUGAGGGCAGGAGAGGAAAGUGGAAUUCCUAGUGUAGCGGUGAAAUGCGUAGAUAUUAGGAGGAACCCCAGUGGCGAAGGCGACUUUCUGGACUGUACCUGACGCUGAGGCGCGAAAGCGUGGGGAGCAAACGGGAUUAGAUACCCCGGUAGUCCACGCUGUAAACGAUGGGUACUAGGUGUAGGAGGUAUCGACCCCCCCUGUGCCGCAGUUAACGCAAUAAGUACCCCGCCUGGGGAGUACGGCCGCAAGGUUG
rnacentral:rRNA from 1 species